rnacentral:misc_RNA from 1 species
AAAAAAAAAAAAGAGUAUUGAAAUUGUUAAACAUUAGCCUCUUGCCAUUUACCGUACCAUUUUUAAUUUUCUUGACAUGGUGCACUUUUAAUGCCAUUUUUUUGUAAUGUUAUCAGUUGGUAGAGUUUAGUAUUUCAACCAACCAAGUGAAUUUCUUUGUGCUUGAUCUGAUAAUGCUGGUUGUGUAGGAUCUCUCUUUGGUUUGUUCUUUAAGUCAGUUGAUUGUGAAUGCUUGUUCACUUGUGCAUUCUUUGGGAAGUCUCUCUUGUGGUUGUGCUGAUUUAUGACAUUGUUUUUU